AUUGAACGCUGGCGGAAUGCUUUACACAUGCAAGUCGAGCGGCAGCGCGGGGCAACCUGGCGGCGAGCGGCGAACGGGUGAGUAAUACAUCGGAACGUACCCAGACGUGGGGGAUAGCCCGGCGAAAGCCGGAUUAAUACCGCAUGAGAUCUGAGGAUGAAAGCAGGGGACCUUCGGGCCUUGCGCGUUUGGAGCGGCCGAUGGCAGAUUAGGUAGUUGGUGAGGUAAAGGCUUACCAAGCCUGCGAUCUGUAGCUGGUCUGAGAGGAUGAUCAGCCACACUGGGACUGAGACACGGCCCAGACUCCUACGGGAGGCAGCAGUGGGGAAUUUUGGACAAUGGGCGCAAGCCUGAUCCAGCCAUUCCGCGUGCAGGAUGAAGGCCCUCGGGUUGUAAACUGCUUUUGUACAGAACGAAAAAGGCCCGGCUAAUAUCCCGGGUUCAUGACGGUAC
rnacentral:rRNA from 1 species